GUACUCGCUUCGGCUGUACAUACGGUACUAAAAUUGGAACGAUACAGAGAAGAUUAGCUUGGUCCCUGCGAAAGGACGACACGCACAAGCGUGAAGCGUUCCACACUUAA